rnacentral:rRNA from 1 species
UACGUAGGGGGGCAAGCGUUGUCCGGAUUUAUUGGGCGUAAAGCGCGUGUAGGCGGCUUGGUAGGUCAGCUGUGAAAACUCGAGGCUCAACCUCGAGCUGUCGGUUGAAACCACCUUGCUAGAGUCCGGAAGAGGAGAGUGGAAUUCCUGGUGUAGCGGUGAAAUGCGCAGAUAUCAGGAAGAACACCAAUGGCGAAGGCAGCUCUCUGGGACGGUACUGACGCUGAGACGCGAAAGCGUGGGGAGCGAACAGG